rnacentral:rRNA from 1 species
UUUUCAGUGUCGCAGCAAAAGCGUUAAGCACACCGCCUGGGGAGUACGACCGCAAGGUUAAAACUCAAAUGAAUUGACGGGGACCCGCACAAGUAGUGGAGCAUGUGGUUUAAUUCGAAGAUACGCGCAGAACCUUACCAACACUUGACAUGUUCGUCGCGACUCCAAGAGAUUGGAGUCUUCGGUUCGGCCGGACGAAACACAGGUGCUGCAUGGCUGUCGUCAGCUCGUGUCGCGAGAUGUUGGGUUAAGUCCCGCAACGAGCGCAACCCUUACUUUUAGUUGCUACCAUUUAGUUGGGCACUCUAAAAGAACUGCCAGUGAUAAGCUGGAGGAAGGUGGGGAUGACGUCAAGUCCUCAUGGCCCUUACGUGUUGGGCUACACACGUGCUACAAUGGUAUUUACAGUGGGAUGCAAAGAGGCAACUCCAAGCCAACCCUCAAAAGAUACCUCAGUUCGGAUUGCACUCUGCAACUCGAGUGCAUGAAGCUGGAAUUACUAGUAAUCGUGGAUCAGCGCGCCACGGUGAAUACGUUCCCGGGUCUUGUACACACCGCCCGUCACACCAUGGAAGUUGGUUACACCUUAAGGCAAAGUGUAAAAACUUUGACUACGGUACGAUCAGCGACUGGGGUGAAGUCGUAACAAGGUAGCCGUAGGGGAACCUGCGGCUGGAUCACCUCCUU